UAAAACCCUUCACAGUGACUCAGAGCGUAGCUUCCUAGAGAAAACAAUGGCGAAUAUGCCAAUGGAUAUCGUCAACGAUGUAUUCCUUCGUCUGCCUGCUACUACACUGGUCCGAUGCCGCCUCCUCUCGAAGCCUUGCUUCUCUCUUAUCGACAGUCCCGACUUCAUCGCCUCGCAUCUCAAACGCGUUCUCGAAACCGAAGAGCACCUCAUGAUCAUACUGCGAUCGCCUCGCCUUCUACGUACGGUGUACCUCGACGCACCGGAUAAAAUCUCAGACGUCGAUCAUCCUCUGCAAGCCGGUGGUUUCACGGAGGUUUUCGGUUCGGUUAACGGCGUGAUCGGUUUAACAAACUCUCCGGUUGAUUUAGCGAUUUUCAAUCCGUCGACUCGCAAAAUCCACCGCUUACCGAUUGAGCCUAUCGAUUUCUCGGAACGGUUCAUCGCUCGCGAGAAUGUGUUUUACGGAUUAGGUUACGAUUCCGUGAGCGAUGAUUACAAAGUUGUGCGGAUGGUUCAGUCUACGCAUAAAGGCCAUGGAGUCAAGGAAAGCUGUCGCGCUUUCGAAGUCAAAGUUUUCAGCUUGAAAAGUAAUAAAUGGAAGAGAAUCCAUCUUCUCUUUGACGUUCAGAUUCUUUUUACAAAAUUAUAUUACCGUUUGCUUUACCGCCGCGGAAAUGGUGUUCUUGCUAGCAACAGGCUUCACUGGAUUCUACCUCGAAGUCGAGGAUAUAUAGCCUGGAACACCGUGAUCAGAUUUGAUCUCGCCUCUGACGAUCUUGGAAUCCUCAGGUACCCACUGGAGCUUCUCCAUGAAUAUGAUAUGGGCAUAGGUGUGUUAGAUGGCUGCCUUUGCUUGAUGUGUUACAGCGAGUUUACCCAUGUGGAUGUUUGGAUUUUGAGGAAAUAUCAAAGAAAAUGGUCUAAGUUCAUUUCGGUGCCGAAACCUGAGAUUGUGGUUUCGUUUGAAUUUGUGAGACCUAUGAUCUACUCUAAGGACAGGAGGAAGAUUUUGCUGGAGAUAAACAAUGGGAAGCUCUUUUGGUUUGAUUUGGAGAGUAAGAGUUUUGAGACGCUUGAAAUAAAGGGCUGUGAGGGUCUUCCAUGUAACGUGGAAAUUGUUGUGAGUAGCCUUGUUUUGGGAUGUAAAGGUGAUCCUCGCAGAGCUCAAGAGAAAAAGAUGGGUAACAAAAGUCUCAGGGGCGAUGGUUUUCUGUCCAAGGGAUUCAAGCUGAAGUUAUGAGCAAAGCUGGGGAACUUCAAAGCCCAAAACUUUAUAAAAGGUAAGUGUUAUGAAUCUAAUGGUCUUGAGUGUUUCCCUCAAGUUGUUAUUCUUCUUUCUUUUUCUUGAAGUGAGAUUUUCAUUAUUGGAAGUCUUAGCAAGUUGAACUUGAGUCAACAUCAUAAGGUGCAUGGCGUAGGUGGAAGAGGAAAUGGCUUGAAGCAGCUUCACCAAAUCCAUAGGUCUUAGUACUAAUUAGCUUUUAACCUCUGUAGAAGGUAUAUAUCUUAAGAGAAGACGGUGUGCUUCGGUAACUUCUUUUGAGUGUGGCAUGUUGCAAUAUAACGCUCUAGUGCUGCAUAUAUAAAAUCUAAGAAUCUAGUAAUAUUAAAAUCAGGCUGCAAAUAGUUACUGAAAGAAUUUUUGAUUUAUUCAA